rnacentral:lncRNA from 1 species
CUCACAUUAUCAGAGACAGAAAGGAAAGAAAAUGAAAUCUUCUGAGGUACAGGGUAUUCAUUUAUCCAUUUCAUUCUCAUUUUGGAUCAUGAUGAACUAAAAUAACUCCACAUAUUUAAAUCUCCCCUUCACACACACAUAAAGUGUAUUUCUGUUAAGCAAAAUGUGUGUGUAUUUACACACAUAUACACACAGUCUCAACUUAGGAUAAUUCAGUUUCAUUUUUCAACUUUUUGAUAGUACAAAAGUGAUUCACAUUCAAUACAAACUGUACUU